rnacentral:tRNA from 1 species
GGCAAGUGGAUGGAGGUAGUGGAUUGGGAAU